rnacentral:misc_RNA from 1 species
UUAACUUAUUAUAUAAUCCUCAGACGACACGUAAACACGAGGGUUGACGGUCUCUGACAAGCACGCCACAGCCGGAGCCGCGGGCCCGAAGGCGGCCUGCCAAAGCAACAAUGGUAAAUAACACAGGGUGGGAGGUCUACCCGCGAGGGCAUGAACUCUGUAAUGAUCCUUCCGCUGGUUCACCAACGGAAA